AAAUUGAAGAGUUUGAUCAUGGCUCAGAUUGAACGCUGGCGGCAGGCCUAACACAUGCAAGUCGAGCGGUAGCACAGAGAGCUUGCUCUCGGGUGACGAGCGGCGGACGGGUGAGUAAUGUCUGGGAAACUGCCUGAUGGAGGGGGAUAACUACUGGAAACGGUAGCUAAUACCGCAUAACGUCGCAAGACCAAAGUGGGGGACCUUCGGGCCUCAUGCCAUCAGAUGUGCCCAGAUGGGAUUAGCUAGUAGGUGGGGUAACGGCUCACCUAGGCGACGAUCCCUAGCUGGUCUGAGAGGAUGACCAGCCACACUGGAACUGAGACACGGUCCAGACUCCUACGGGAGGCAGCAGUGGGGAAUAUUGCACAAUGGGCGCAAGCCUGAUGCAGCCAUGCCGCGUGUGUGAAGAAGGCCUUCGGGUUGUAAAGCACUUUCAGCGGGGAGGAAGGCGGUGAGGUUAAUAACCUCACCGAUUGACGUUACCCGCAGAAGAAGCACCGGCUAACUCCGUGCCAGCAGCCGCGGUAAUACGGAGGGUGCAAGCGUUAAUCGGAAUUACUGGGCGUAAAGCGCACGCAGGCGGUCUGUCAAGUCGGAUGUGAAAUCCCCGGGCUCAACCUGGGAACUGCAUUCGAAACUGGCAGGCUAGAGUCUUGUAGAGGGGGGUAGAAUUCCAGGUGUAGCGGUGAAAUGCGUAGAGAUCUGGAGGAAUACCGGUGGCGAAGGCGGCCCCCUGGACAAAGACUGACGCUCAGGUGCGAAAGCGUGGGGAGCAAACAGGAUUAGAUACCCUGGUAGUCCACGCCGUAAACGAUGUCGAUUUGGAGGUUGUGCCCUUGAGGCGUGGCUUCCGGAGCUAACGCGUUAAAUCGACCGCCUGGGGAGUACGGCCGCAAGGUUAAAACUCAAAUGAAUUGACGGGGGCCCGCACAAGCGGUGGAGCAUGUGGUUUAAUUCGAUGCAACGCGAAGAACCUUACCUGGUCUUGACAUCCACAGAACUUAGCAGAGAUGCUUUGGUGCCUUCGGGAACUGUGAGACAGGUGCUGCAUGGCUGUCGUCAGCUCGUGUUGUGA
rnacentral:rRNA from 1 species